CUAGAAUGUAUAAUUAGAAUACAGUCAGCAGCUGACAGAAUAAUCCACACAUUGGUUUCCUUACCUAUGGAGUGAGGGCUAUUAUGGUGGAAAAGGCCAAGUAGAAGCCACUAGAACUAUCUGUACUUAGGAAAAUAGUAAACCAAAAGCAAUGCUCAAUUCCUAUAGGGACUGAAGAGAUUAGUGCCACCAUAAGUACUUGAAGGAAGGCGGGGUGGUGAUUCCUACCAUAUGUCCAUUCAACUCGCCUAUUUAGCCUGGGCAGAAGACAGAUGGAUUAUCACAAACUUAACUAGGUGGUGACUCCAAUUGCAGCUACAGUACCAGAUGUAUUGCUUGAGCAAAUUAACACAACUCCUGGUUCCUGGUAUGCAGCUACCUGGAAUCUUGAUUGCCUUUUCUUUCCACAUCACAUUGGUCCAUUACAUUGACGACAUUAUGCUCACUGGACCUAAUGAGUGAGACAUAGCAACUACUCCAGACCUAUUGGUAAGACAUUUGCAUGUCAGAAGUGGGAAGUAAAUCCAACAAAAAUUCAAAGGCUUUUUCAUGUCUCAGUAAAAUUUCUAGGGGUCCAGUGGUAUGAGGCAUGUUGAGAUACCCCUUCUAAGGUAAGUUUUUGCAUCUGCCCCCUCCUACAACCAGAAGAGGCAUGACAUGCGGCAGGCCUCUUUGGAUUUUGAAGACGUUUCCUCAUUUGAGUUUGUUACUCUGGCCCAUUUACUGAGUGACUUGAAAAGCUGCUAGUUUGGAGUAGGACUCAGAAUAGGAAAGGUUCUGCAAUAGGUCCAGGCUAUUGUGUAAGCGGC
rnacentral:lncRNA from 10 species